GCUUACGGCCAUACCACCCUGAGAACGCCCGAUCUCGUCUGAUCUCCGAAGCUAAGCAGGGUCGGGCCUGGUUAGUA
rnacentral:rRNA from 1 species